CAGCAUUCUGUAGCAAUACAGGGUGUGGGCGCGUGGCGAACGGGUGCGUAACACGUGGAUAACCUUCCUUCAGGUGGGGAAUAACCCAGUGAAAAUUGGGCUAAUACCGCAUAACAUGACGAUGCCACAUGGUGUUGUCUUCAAAGCCGCAAGGCGCCAGAGGAGGGAUCCGCGGCCGAUUAGCUUGUUGGCGAGGUAAUGGCUCACCAAGGCUUUGAUCGGUAGCCGGACUGAGAGGUUGGCCGGCCACACUGGAACUGAGACACGGUCCAGACUCCUACGGGAGGCAGCAGUGGGGAAUCUUGCACAAUGGACGAAAGUCUGAUGCAGCAACGCCGCGUGGGGGAUGAAGCUUUUCGGA
rnacentral:rRNA from 1 species